rnacentral:rRNA from 1 species
UACGUAGGGUGCGAGCGUUAAUCGGAAUUACUGGGCGUAAAGAGUGCGUAGGCGGUUUCUCAAGUCCGCUGUGAAAGCCCCGGGCUCAACCUGGGAAUGGCAAUGGAUACUGGCAGGCUAGAGUGCGGUAGAGGGUAGUGGAAUUCCCGGUGUAGCGGUGAAAUGCGUAGAGAUCGGGAGGAACACCAGUGGCGAAGGCGGCUACCUGGACCAGCACUGACACUGAGGCACGAAAGCGUGGGGGAGCAAACAGG